rnacentral:rRNA from 1 species
ACGGGCGGGGUAAGACCGGGGGGCCCCACUGACCCCAUGCCGAACUCAGAAGUGAAACGCCGUAGCGCCGAUGGUAGUGUGGGGCCUCCCCAUGCGAGAGUAGGGAACUGCCAGGC